UGUUCCACAUGAGCGCAUGCGAGUGUGGGAAAUGCUUUUUGCGGCAUGGGAUGGGGUCGCGUCCUAUCAGCUUGUUGGCGGGGUGAUGGCCCACCAAGGCGUUGACGGGUAGCCGGCCUGAGAGGGUGACCGGCCACAUUGGGACUGAAAUACGGCCCAAACUCCUACGGGAGGCAGCAGUGGGGAAUAUUGCACAAUGGGCGCAAGCCUGAUGCAGCGACGCCGCGUGCGGGAUGGAGGCCUUCGGGUUGUAAACCGCUUUUGUUCAAGGGCAAGGCACGGCUUCGGGCCGUGUUGAGUGGAUUGUUCGAAUAAGCACCGGCUAACUACGUGCCAGCAGCCGCGGUAAUACGUAGGGUGCGAGCGUUAUCCGGAUUUAUUGGGCGUAAAGGGCUCGUAGGCGGUUCGUCGCGUCCGGUGUGAAAGUCCAUCGCCUAACGGUGGAUCUGCGCCGGGUACGGGCGGGCUGGAGUGCGGUAGGGGAGACUGGAAUUCCCGGUGUAACGGUGGAAUGUGUAGAUAUCGGGAAGAACACCAAUGGCGAAGGCAGGUCUCUGGGCCGUUACUGACGCUGAGGAGCGAAAGCGUGGGGAGCGAACAGGAUUAGAUACCCUGGUAGUCCACGCCGUAAACGGUGGAUGCUGGAUGUGGGGCCCUUUCCACGGGUCCUGUGUCGGAGCCAACGCGUUAAGCAUCCCGCCUGGGGAGUACGGCCGCAAGGCUAAAACUCAAAGAAAUUGACGGGGGUCCGCACAAGCGGCGGAGCAUGCGGAUUAAUUCGAUGCAACGCGAAGAACCUUACCUGGGCUUGACAUGUUCCCGACAGCCCCAGAGAUGGGGCCUCCCUUCGGGGCGGGUUCACAGGUGGUGCAUGGUCGUCGUCAGCUCGUGUCGUGAGAUGUUGGGUUAAGUCCCGCAACGAGCGCAACCCUCGCCCCGUGUUGCCAGCACAUGAUGGUGGGAACUCACGGGGGACCGCCGGGGUUAACUCGGAGGAAGGUGGGGAUGACGUCAGAUCAUCAUGCCCCUUACGUCCAGGGCUUCACGCAUGCUACAAUGGCCGGUACAACGGGAUGCGACAUGGCGACAUGGAGCGGAUCCCUGAAAACCGGUCUCAGUUCGGAUUGGAGUCUGCAACCCGACUCCAUGAAGGCGGAGUCGCUAGUAAUCGCGAAUCAGCAACGU
rnacentral:rRNA from 1 species